rnacentral:rRNA from 1 species
ACGGGGUGCAGCAGGCGCGAAAACUUUACAAUGCGGGCAACCGUGAUAAGGGAACCUCGAGUGCCUGUAAAUGCAGGCUGUUCAGGUGCCUAAAACACACCUGAAGAAAGGGCCGGGCAAGACCGGUGCCAGCCGCCGCGGUAAUACCGGCGGCUCGAGUGGUGGCCGCUUUUAUUGGGCUUAAAGCGUUCGUAGCUGGGUUGUUAAGUCUCUUGGGAAAUCUGGCGGCUUAACCGUCAGGCGUCUAAGGGAUACUGGCAAUCUUGGAACCGGGAGAGGUGAGGGGUACUUCGGGGGUAGGAGUGAAAUCCUGUAAUCCUCGAGGGACCACCUGUGGCGAAGGCGCCUCACCAGAACGGCUUCGACAGUGAGGGACGAAAGCUGGGGGAGCAAACCGGAUUAGAUACCCGGGUAGUCCCAGCCGUAAACUAUGCGCGUUAGGUGUAUCGGUGACCACGAGUUACCGAGGUGCCGAAGGGAAACCGUGAAACGUGCCGCCUGGGAAGUACGGUCGCAAGGCUGAAACUUAAAGGAAUUGGCGGGGGAGCAC